rnacentral:rRNA from 1 species
AUACGUAGGGGGCGAGCGUUGUCCGGAAUGAUUGGGCGUAAAGGGCGCGUAGGCGGCCCGGUAAGUCUGGAGUGAAAGUCCUGUUUUCAAGAUGGGAAUUGCUUUGGAUACUGAUGGGCUUGAGUGCAGGAGAGGUUAUCGGAAUUCCCGGUGUAGCGGUGAAAUGCGUAGAGAUCGGGAGGAACACCAGUGGCGAAGGCGGGUAACUGGACUGCAACUGACGCUGAGGCGCGAAAGUGUGGGGAGCAAACAGGAUUAGAUACCCUGGUAGUCCACACUGUAAACGAUGAAUGCUAGGUGUAGGAGGUAUCGACCCCUUUUGUGCCGGAGUUAACACAAUAAGCAUUCCGCCUGGGGAGUACGGCCGCAAGGUUGAAACUCAAAUGAAUUGACGGGG